CUUUUACUUCGGUCCAUUUUGAAAACAAGGUUUUCUUCUGCUAAGGGAGGACUUCUCACAUCUUAGGUACUUUGCUGUCUUCUCACCUCUUGUUGGGUGCUGAGCAGCGGCGGCGGCGGCGCAAGCGGGGCCUGCGGGCGGCGCGGGCACUCAUGGCGACCUGCUCGUCUCUCAGCGGCUCGGUGAGGGUCUGCCCCGCCGCUGCGGUAAGCGAGGGGGCCCCAUGUGAGGACAGAACCCAGCUGCGGGACCCGCGACCGCCACAGCUCCGCCCUCGCUCUCCUCC
rnacentral:lncRNA from 1 species